UUAAUUAAGAGUUUGAUCCUGGCUCAGGACGAACGCUGGCGGCACGCUUAACACAUGCAAGUCGAACGAGAGAAGAGAAGCUUGCUUUUCUGAUCUAGUGGCGGACGGGUGAGUAACACGUGAGCAAUCUGCCUUUCAGAGGGGGAUACCGAUUGGAAACGAUCGUUAAUACCGCAUAACAUAAUUGAACCGCAUGAUUUGAUUAUCAAAGAUUUAUCGCUGAAAGAUGAGCUCGCGUCUGAUUAGCUAGUUGGUAAGGUAACGGCUUACCAAGGCGACGAUCAGUAGCCGGACUGAGAGGUUGAUCGGCCACAUUGGGACUGAGACACGGCCCAGACUCCUACGGGAGGCAGCAGUGGGGAAUAUUGCACAAUGGAGGAAACUCUGAUGCAGCGAUGCCGCGUGAGGGAAGAAGGUUUUAGGAUUGUAAACCUCUGUCUUCAGGGACGAAAAAAGACGGUACCUGAGGAGGAAGCUCCGGCUAACUACGUGCCAGCAGCCGCGGUAAUACGUAGGGAGCGAGCGUUGUCCGGAAUUACUGGGUGUAAAGGGAGCGUAGGCGGGAUCGCAAGUCAGAUGUGAAAACUAUGGGCUUAACCCAUAAACUGCAUUUGAAACUGUGGUUCUUGAGUGAAGUAGAGGUAAGCGGAAUUCCUAGUGUAGCGGUGAAAUGCGUAGAUAUUAGGAGGAACAUCAGUGGCGAAGGCGGCUUACUGGGCUUUAACUGACGCUGAGGCUCGAAAGCGUGGGGAGCAAACAGGAUUAGAUACCCUGGUAGUCCACGCCGUAAACGAUGAUUACUAGGUGUGGGGGGACUGACCCCUUCCGUGCCGCAGCAAACGCAAUAAGUAAUCCACCUGGGGAGUACGACCGCAAGGUUGAAACUCAAAGGAAUUGACGGGGGCCCGCACAAGCAGUGGAGUAUGUGGAUUAAUUCGAAGCAACGCGAAGAACCUUACCAGGUCUUGACAUCGUAUGCAUACCUCAGAGAUGAGUGAAAUCUCUUCGGAGACAUAUAGACAGGUGGUGCAUGGUUGUCGUCAGCUCGUGUCGUGAGAUGUUGGGUUAAGUCCCGCAACGAGCGCAACCCUUACUGUUAGUUGCUACGCAAGAGCACUCUAGCAGGACUGCCGUUGACAAAACGGAGGAAGGUGGGGAUGACGUCAAAUCAUCAUGCCCCUUAUGACCUGGGCCUCACACGUACUACAAUGGCUGUUAACAGAGGGAUGCAAAGCCGCGAGGUGGAGCGAACCCCUAAAAGCAGUCUUAGUUCGGAUUGUAGGCUGCAACCCGCCUACAUGAAGUCGGAAUUGCUAGUAAUCGCAGAUCAGCAUGCUGCGGUGAAUACGUUCCCGGGCCUUGUACACACCGCCCGUCACGCCAUGGGAGUCGGUAACACCCGAAGCCUGUAGUCUAACCGCAAGGAGGACGCAGUCGAAGGUGGGAUUGAUGACUGGGGUGAAGUCGUAACAAGGUAGCCGUAUCGGAAGGUGCGGCUGGAUCACCUCCUUU
rnacentral:rRNA from 1 species